rnacentral:rRNA from 1 species
GACGAACGCUGGCGGCGUGCUUAACACAUGCAAGUCGAACGGGCCUUUAUGAAUAGCUUGCUAUAAGUAAAGGCUAGUGGCGGACGGGUGAGUAACGCGUGGGCAAUCUACCCUAUUGACCGGGAUAACACCGGGAAACCGCUGUUAAUACCGGAUAAGCUUGACCCAAGGCAUAUUGGGGCAAGGAAAAGGAGGCCUCUGGAAUAAGCUACCGCAAUAGGAUGAGCCCGCGUCCCAUUCGCUAGUUGGUGGGGUAACGGCCUACCAAGGCGACGAUGGGUAGCCGGCCUGAGAGGGUGACCGUCCACACUGGGACUGAGACACGGCCCAGAUUCGUACGUGAGGCAGCAGUGGGGAAUAUUGAGCAAUGGGGGGAACCCUGACGCAGCAACGCCGCGUGAGUGAAGACGGCCUUCGGGUUGUAAAGCUCUGUCAAGAGGGACGAAGUGUAUGCUGCGAAAAGCGGUAUAGGUGACGGUACCAAAGAGGAAGCCCCGGCUAACUACGUGCCAGCAGCCGCGGUAAUACGUAGGGGGCGAGCGUUGUCCGGAUUUUCUGGGUGUAAAGGGCGUGUAGGCGGUUAAUUAAGUCAGGUGUGAAAACUCUGGGCUCACCCGAGAGGUUGCAUUUGAAACUGGUUAACUUGAGGGUAGGAGAGGGAAGUGGAAUUCCUAGUGUAGCGGUGAAACCGUAGAUACUCGGAGGAACACCAAUGGCGAAGGCGACUUUCUGGCCUAACCGAGACGCUGAGGCGCGAAAGCGUGGGGAGCAAACAGGAUUAGAUACAUCAGUAGUCA